CAGGAUGAACGCUGGCGGCAUGCCUAAGACAUGCAAGUCGAACGGAGCGGCCCAUUGAAAUGGAGUGCUUGCACAAAGUGGAUUUGGAUUCCCGCUUAGUGGCGAAAGGGUGAGUAACACGUGGGUUAUCUACCUCAGAGACUGGAAUAACAAUUGGAAACGAUUGCUAAUGCCGGAUGAUAUAUAAAACGAUACGUUGUUUUAUAUUAAAAGGAGCCUUUAAAGCUUCACUUUGAGAUGAGCCCGCGGCGUAUUAGCUAGUUGGUGAGGUAAUGGCCCACCAAGGCAACGAUGCGUAGCCGGCCUGAGAGGGUGAUCGGCCACAUUGGGACUGAGACACGGCCCAAACUCCUACGGGAGACAGCAGUUAGGAAUAUUCGUCAAUGGGGGAAACCCUGAACGAGCAAUGCCGCGUGAGUGAUGACGGUCCUUUGGAUUGUAAAACUCUGUUGUUAGGGAAGAACGACCUGUAUAGGAAAUGAUACAGGAGUGACGGUACCUUUCAAGAAAGCUCCGGCUAACUACGUGCCAGCAGCCGCGGUAAUACGUAGGGAGCGAGCGUUAUCCGGAUUUAUUGGGUGUAAAGCGUGUGUAGGCGGUUUAUUAAGUCUGAGGUUUAAUCCCGGAGCUUAACUCCGGUUCGCCUCAGAAACUGAUUUACUUGAGUAUGGUAGAGGCAAGUGGAAUUUCUAGUGUAGCGGUAAAAUGCGUAGAUAUUAGAAGGAACACCAGUGGCGAAGGCGACUUGCUGGGCCAUCACUGACGCUGAGACACGAAAGCGUGGGGAGCAAAUAGGAUUAGAUACCCUAGUAGUCCACGCCGUAAACGAUGGAUACUAAGUGUCGGGUAACCGGUGCUGAAGUUAACACAUUAAGUAUCCCACCUGAGUAGUACGGUCGCAAGGCUGCAACUCAAAUGAA
rnacentral:rRNA from 1 species